GCACUGUACCUAUUGUGGUGAUCCAGGACAUUGGGUCCAAACAUGUUUUCACCUAAUUGGUUUUCCUCCAGGUCAUCCCAAAGCAAAGCACGGAUCGGGAAAUUUCCCCAAGAAGCACACUGCCACACCAGUCGCGCCUUCUAUCGCGCCCUCUCCUUCUGCUAACCAGGUUCAUGCGACAGGCAUCGUAGAAGAGGAGAAUGGAUCAGCAAUUACUUUAUCUGAGGCCCAAUUCAAACAGUUUUUAGCUGCUCUCCAACAAGCCCAAAAGCCCAAUCCAAAUACUGACUCGAGUUCUAAGGCAAAUGCAGUAACGCAGCCAGGUUUGUCUAGAGUCGCUUCCCGCAAUUGGAUAAUUGAUAGCGGGGCGACAGAUCAUAUUACUUCGUGCUCUAAAUUAUUGAAUAAAAAUAAAAAUUGUGCAUUACCACCUGUUUUGCUACCUAGUGGACAAAAAGUGCAUAUUGAAGCCACAGGUUCUUUGCCUCUGAGUACCGUAUAUUAUCUACAUAAUGUGCUGUUUGUGCCGAAGUUCAAAGUUGAUUUAAUGUCGGUUAGCCGCUUGACAAGAGGAUCUGGCUACGAAGAGGACGAUUGGUUUGGGUAAAGAAUGUGAUGGGCUAUACUAUUUGGUGGCACUAGCGACGGAACGAACCAGGCCUUCCAUUACCACUCCUUCCAGAUCAUCUUGCAACCUUGUCCUUUCCCCCACCAAUCUUUGGCAUAAUCGCUUGGGUCAUGUCUCCUCUCCAUGUUUAAGUCACAUAGCAAAAAAUUUCUUGCAUUUUUCCAUUCAGCCAAAUAAUAAUUGCCCUGUGUGUCCUUUGGCUAAGCAGAGUCGAUUACCAUUCAG
rnacentral:lncRNA from 1 species